AUUGAACGCUGGCGGAAUGCUUUACACAUGCAAGUCGAGCGGCAGCGCGGGAGGGGUAACCUGACUGGCGGCGAGCGGCGAACGGGUGAGUAAUGCAUCGGAACGUACCCAGUCGUGGGGGAUAACGUGGCGAAAGUCACGCUAAUACCGCAUACGUCCUGAGGGAGAAAGCAGGGGAUCGCAAGACCUUGCGCGAUUGGAGCGGCUGAUGUCUGAUUAGCUAGUUGGUGGGAUAAAGGCCUACCAAGGCGACGAUCAGUAGCUGGUCUGAGAGGACGAUCAGCCACACUGGGACUGAGACACGGCCCAGACUCCUACGGGAGGCAGCAGUGGGGAAUUUUGGACAAUGGGCGAAAGCCUGAUCCAGCCAUUCCGCGUGAGUGAAGAAGGCCUGGUUGUUAAAGGACUCUUUCGGUCAGGAACGAAACGGACAGUCUCUAAUAC
rnacentral:rRNA from 1 species